CCUAGGAAAGAGAGGGAGCCUGGGGCCCGCAGAAGCUUCCCAGGCUGACAGGCUUCUCUGGGCUCACAGGCAGAGCAGCGGGGAGACAUGGAAGUCAGCGCACUGCCAGCCCCUGCCUGGUGCCGCUCAACAGGAGCCUCCCCUUCGCCUGGAGCCAGGCUGGCCCAUCCGGGCAUUUCCCCAUGCCCCCGCCCUAUCGCUCCUCUGUGGGCACCUUGGGAGCCUCGUCCACACUCCAAAACAAGUUAAAAUCAGACCUCCUUCCCCUCAGUGGCCUUAGAGACACAAAGUGGGCCUGAGUGGGAGGAAAACAGCCCUGCCCUCAGGAGUCCCGGGUCUGAAGGGGGAGACAAGCCCUCCCUCCAGUCUGAUGGGGGAAACAGGAAACCCACAUGCAGAGGCCUGCAGUGGCAGAGUGCCCGGGUGAAGGCCAAGGGGAAACAGCUGUACAAGAGGCGAUCGCUCAGGUGGGGCUUUCCAGGGAGACGGCCAGGGGGAAAGGCUUCACAGGGCAUUGGCUUGCGGGGCGCAGGAACACACACGAUCAGCAUAAGAAGCCCAUUCAGGGAGGCAGAAUGCCAGGUGGGCUGUGCCUCUGUGUGGGUGGGGGUGGGUGUGUGAGCACGUGUGCAAGUGCGUGCCCACAUGCAUGCACAGCGCCAUUCUCUUCUGUGCUGGAGUGUUUAUCUUCAGACACAAACCAAUGGAAACAGCCCGGAAACCCUGCAGCAAACACAGUGCCUGCAGUCUGCACCUUGUGGGGCCGAGCAAACAGCCCUCAGGCUCAGGCUGGGCCUUCCGGUUUCCCGGUCCUGGAGGCACAGCCUUGACACUGCACCAACAGUGCUCCUGCCCUACGCUGGUCCCCUUGGAGGGCACAGGCCCCAAAGUGGGCCUGGCAGAAAAGGGAAGGAGCAGAGGGAGAGGGGUGUGUUUUUGAGAGGCCCCAGCGAAGAUUCUGCUACAGAAGUUACAAAGGAGAAGAAAGAAAGGAAAAAUGAGCAGUGACCAUGGGGCGGCAGGGUGGAGGUUUGUGCGGGAGUCAGGGUUCCGGCCCGGCCCUGCCUCUUGCUAGGCCCGAUCAGGGCCCCAACUGAGCCGGUGUCACCCUGCUGCUCAGUGGGCCUGGGUGGUCUCAAAGGCCCCUUUCACGCUGCACAUGCGGCAUCACUGAGGCCCAGCAGUAGCUGGGCAGGGGGUAGUGCCUGAGCCCAGGCUGCCUGCCUCUGGACAGCUGAUGAGUUGGCCUGGUGCAACAAGAGGCUCUUAAGUCAGGGUGGCAAGCUGUGCGGUGCCUCCAUCCCGCAGCCAGGCCAGCACUCCCCACCCCAGCCCACCCUGCGCCCAAGCCAGGAGGCCAGGGCUGGUCCUGUGUUCAUAACAGUCCUUCCCAAGCUAGAGGGGGGAGAGCAGAACCCACCACCCUCUGGCUGCAGCCUGGGCUAAUGUAGGGGAACUCCUCUUGGGUUGCAGAGUGCCAGAGGAGGUUUCCAGAAGGGAUCCGAGUCAGUGCUGACGUGGCAGGGGAGGAUGAGAGCCAGGGGUACAGAGGGGCCUCAGUGAGGGGCCCAGUCACGGUGAGGUGGUCUCUCUGCUCUGCUCCCACCAAGGCAGCCUUGGCAGGCAGGGUCAUCUCGCGUCUAUCCCCCGGCUCACAGGAGCCCACCUCAUAGCAGGCACAGGGGACUCCCACCAGAGACUGAGGGUCCCAGAGAGGAGCGUGACACGGCCUGCAGUGCUCCCAGCUCUGCUUCAUCUGACCUGGGAGGAAAAGAGCUGGUUUCCCAUGGAGCCUCAGACGGCCUGAAGGCUGGCCCUGAUGUCAUUGUGCUAAACCUGCUCAGGCACUGCUCUGCCUGCCUUACAGUCUCGACCACAGGAAGUCACGACUGAAGAACCUUCCGGAUGAUCGCUCACCACCCUCUUAGUGUGCAGAUGAAUCCCUGGGGGUCAGUUCUCCCCUCUGCUUGCCUUCCUGAGGGCACACCUCAGCCCCAGCACCUUGCUCAGAAUCAGAAGACUCUGCACUGGGAGCUCAUAUGGACAGAUCCUAGCUGGACGCUCCAGAGGCCCACAGCUUCCUCCCCAGGAGUAGCAGCUCAGGAAUACGCAGCCCAGCCCCCGAGGAGUGAGUAACCCUGAGAGAAGCACAAAGCAAAGGAGGAAGAGAUGGCCCAGCUGGAGGGGAUCUCUGCUGCCUUCACAAAACCUGGCACGCCAACCUGCCAUUUAGAAUUACCCUCAUCCCCUUCCUGUUCUUUGCACUACACAUGUUCCUAAGAAGUUCCAGGUAAGGGAGCUUCUGCAAGUCACAGCACUUAAAAAAAAAACAAACAGAAAACACCCUGAUAGGCUUCUAAUUGAACCACUAGGCAGAAUCAGAAGGGACCUUGAGCUGCUUCGUAAGAUGUCCUGCGUCUCACAUGCAUCCAGUCCUGUACAAAACCCACAGAAACACCAGCAUACACAAGGAGACUUGCUUCUUAAGGGAAUUUUUCAGUGUACAAGAGGAUUUUGGCCAUGGGGAUAAUCACUCCCUAACGGAUGACGUUUUGUCAGUUGGGUGGCUGUGUCUCUGUGACACCUGUACUCCUCUCUCAUCUCUGGAAGUGACAUGGACAGGAAAACCCACCCUCAUGGACACCUCUAGGAGUGAGUCAAAGGGCAAGAGCCCUAGGCCCAGAUGGCCCCCUGAGGUUUCCCGGGGAUAGCCCAAGCGUUCCCAGGCCAUCUGCUUGCUUGCGUCCAUGCAAUCCAGGAAACCCCCCAGCCAGGAGCUGGGGCUAGGGAAGUCUCUCGCAGCCUAUGGCUUGCAAAUCUUCUCUGCUCUGCUUUGGGUCUGUUUUCCCAGCUGCACUAGGAAAAUGAAUAUUGCUGGCUUUCCAAAGGACUCCAAGGACGUGGCCCUGUUCAGUUCGAGCAAGAGAAUCAGGCUCUGCAAUGGUAUCCAAAACGGUAUCUCUGGGGCAUGGCAGGCAAAGUCCAGAGCCCGGCCCUUGGGCAGAGGCCAGGGAGGAGUAACAUGGUGGGGAGUGGAGGGGGACCCCUGCACCAAGGAUGGAAGCGCCCUUACCAAGCUUUGGGUGAAACACCUGUGCCUGCCCCCAUGGCCCUAGCGGGGGAGGUCCUGUAUGUCUGCCUCCAGGGACCAAUACAGGAACCCUGGCCCCCUCAGGAGCAGGACCACGCAGGACCCUCCAGCCCCGUGGCCACCGGGAAAGGGAAGGGACAGCCUGUGUCGGCUGGGCUGGAGCUGACAAUUAAGUGGAGCGCGCCCCAGGGCGCUCGUCAAGCCGCAGCAAGCUCUGGCACCUAGAGUGGCCCCUGAGGCUACACUCCCACUUUCCUGCCCCCACCCCCUUCCAACUCCGCUCCGGCAGCAGGGGCUACGGACACACCUUGGACCUCCCACCUGGGCAGACUCCACCACUCCGCUCCCCAGGGGUGUGGGUGGGGGGAACAGGCGUGAGACACGGUGUACCCCUCACAGGGGUGAGCGAAGGCAAGUAAAUAAUCCAGAAGUCACCUUGAGUCCCUGGAGAGAGUUUUCCGGGGAGAGCUGGGGUGGGGGAGGAGGCAGCCCUUCGGCUCAGGCGGCGCGGCUGGCGGAGCCGGGAGGGGUGGUCGCCGCUGCCAGGAGGCGGGGGCAGCGCCGAGGGCGGCGGGAAGGGAAGGGAAGGGAAGGGAG